rnacentral:rRNA from 1 species
GAGUUUGAUCGUGGCUCAGGAUGAACGCUAGCGGCAGGCCUAAUACAUGCAAGUCGAACGGUAAAUAGUUCAGCAAUGGACUAUGAGAGUGACGCACGGGUGCGUAACACGUAUGCAACCUACCUUACUAGGAGUAUAGCUCGGGGAAACGUACGAAUUAACACUUCAUAGUAUGAUUGAAUGGCAUCAUUUGAUUAUUAAAUCUGCGGAGGUAAAGGAUGGGCAUGCGUCUGAUUAGCUAGUUGGUAGUGUAACGGACUACCAAGGCGAUGAUCAGUAGGGGAACUGAGAGGUUGACUCCCCCACACUGGCACUGAGAUACGGGCCAGACUCCUACGGGAGGCAGCAGUAGGGAAUAUUGGUCAAUGGGUGAGAGCCUGAACCAGCCAUGCCGCGUGCAGGAAGACGGCCUUCUGGGUUGUAAACUGCUUUUGUCGAGGGGAAUAAAAUAUCCUUGCGGAGGGUAAUUGAAGGUACCUGACGAAUAAGCCACGGCUAACUACGUGCCA